rnacentral:rRNA from 1 species
AAACAUGGCUUUUUGUUUAUUUAUAUAAGGUCUAGCCUGCCCAAUGAUUAAUUUUGAAUGGCCGCAGUAUCUUAACUGUGCUAAGGUAGCAUAAUCAUUUGUCUCUUUAUUGGGGACUUGAAUGAAUGGUUGGACGAGGUAUUAGCUUUCUUUAAAUUAUUUGGCAUAAUUUAAUUUUUUAGUUAAAAAGCUAAAAUUUAUUAAUGGGACGAGAAGACCCUAUAGAUCUUUACUAUAAAUUAACUUAAGUAAUUUGGGUGUUAAAUUAAUUUAAGUUAAUUUAUAGUUUAAUUGGGGUGAUUGUGGAAUUUUUUUAACUUCUGCUUAUUUUAUUCAUUAAUGAAUGAUUUGGUGAUCCGGCAGUGUUGAUUAUAAGAUUAAGUUACCUUAGGGAUAACAGCGUAAUUUCUUUGGAUAGUUCAUAUUGAUAAAGAAGAUUGCGACCUCGAUGUUGGAUUAAAAUAAGUGGUAAAUGCAGUAGUUUAUUAACUGGGUCUGUUCGACCCUUAAUUUUUUACAUGAUCUGA